AAGUCGUAACAAGGUAACCGUAGGUGAACCUGCGGUUGGAUCAUUAAUAAUUGAGACGUGAUGAGGAACCCACGUCGUUAAAUAACGCCUCCACCUUUUGUGAACUGUUUCUGUCUCUGGCGGCCGGGUGCUUGCGGCUUCUGCUUCUCGCAUCUGUCAGCUUGGUGAAAACCGAGCCGUGGACAAACCGCCAACCACAACCACAUGUAAACCCAUGUUUUAUAUUUAUUUAUUUUUUUUUUUGUCUGACAUAGUUUUUGUAUAAAUGUACAAACAACUUUUGGCAACGGAUCUCUUGGCUCUC
rnacentral:misc_RNA from 1 species